UUGCCAUAAAUGUCUCGCGGCCGUAACCCACCGCAGCGCGGCGCCACUGUCCCCUAUCAGCUAUACUAGUUCGCAAUUUUGGCGGUAGCAGCCCAGUCUAAGCUCCAACCCUCGAACCGAACGGUCAUCCGAAUUUAGCGAACGAACAAGGUUUAGCAGAUCAGUAGAGCGGCAAAAUGGACGCAAGAUUCAGGAGCAAUCUCGAUAUGAUUGGGCGCAAUGAGCCAAUCACAAAAAAGGCCAAAUUCUGGCAAAGUUAUGUACGAGCCUUGAAAGGCACAGACGACAUGAGAGCUCCAGAGCACACUCACAGGCCUCGCGGCAUUUUCCGUUCCGAUUACCCUGAGCUGCAUUCCUCUUCGUGGCCGUUCGGAAAAUCAAUUUACGACGAUCCCACCCACGCUUCUGACCGCAUCAACGUUCCUGGAUACAGGUACCUGCCCGUACAUCGUGAGAUCUAUGGUUACUCGCCGAGACAGAUAUACCCGCAUCAGUACAAACCAGUAGAACGCUUCGUCCCCGCGCAGCCCUACGACGCAGACAAGGCGUGGAAAGAUCAUCUAAACCGUCUGGCUGAUAUCGACAAACUUUACCCCAGCAAGUCGCCUCUUCUCGCUCGUCACACGCCGAGCUUGCUUUCACCAAAAAGGCUUUUUGACAUUCACGGAAAUCUACUAGAUGAUAUCUUUCCAUCGUUCCCUUCAUUGUUGAGGAAGAAACCCCUAUUUGAUCUUCUGGAACCAUCACCAUAUGCACCCAUUACUGCCUUCAAUAGGGAUCCUUGGUGGUACCCAAGUUACGCCCCUUAUAUUCCGAGAUAUGCCCAAUCGAGCACCCCCUUCUUUCUAAGGGACAGCUACCUUAGUCCCGUCAAGCGGAACUACCUCUGGAGCCGACAUCCGCUGAGGUCUUUUGACCUGGAGGGCCUUUGGCUUGCUACUUUGUUUAAAUAAAGACACAAACCAGAAACAUACUACUAUUACUCGCUGCCCGUACCACGAGUUCACUGUAGCAGUCCUUGGUACAAUCGCACCCCCCUUUGAACUCACGUCUACUAGGGAUUUGAAGUGACCCUUCAUGGAACACGUGGAGUAUAAAAAACGAUACAAAAUCAUGUAAAAAAAAGAACUUUACACCAUCAUCCAUCCUGAACCAUUUUUCCUCACAGUUACAGUCGCCAACGGAAUUUUAUUUAUUAACAUUUUCUUCAAAAGAAUACGUCAUUGCUAUUUGAAAAUAAAAUCACAGGCAAAAUUUUAU